rnacentral:rRNA from 1 species
AUAAGCGUCGGUAAGGUGAUAUGAACCGUUAUAACCGGCGAUUUCCGAAUGGGGAAACCCAGUGUGAUUCGUCACACUAUCAUUAACUGAAUCCAUAGGUUAAUGAGGCGAACCGGGGGAACUGAAACAUCUAAGUACCCCGAGGAAAAGAAAUCAACCGAGAUUCCCCCAGUAGCGGCGAGCGAACGGGGAGGAGCCCAGAGCCUGAAUCAGUGUGUGUGUUAGUGGAAGCGUCUGGAAAGGCGCGCGAUACAGGGUGACAGCCCCGUACACAAAAAUGCACAUGCUGUGAGCUCGAUGAGUAGGGCGGGACACGUGGUAUCCUGUCUGAAUAUGGGGGGACCAUCCUCCAAGGCUAAAUACUCCUGACUGACCGAUAGUGAACCAGUACCGUGAGGGAAAGGCGAAAAGAACCCCGGCGAGGGGAGUGAAAAAGAACCUGAAACCGUGUACGUACAAGCAGUGGGAGCACGCUUAGGCGUGUGACUGCGUACCUUUUGUAUAAUGGGUCAGCGACUUAUAUUCUGUAGCAAGGUUAACCGAAUAGGGGAGCCGAAGGGAAACCGAGUCUUAACUGGGCGUUAAGUUGCAGGGUAUAGACCCGAAACCCGGUGAUCUAGCCAUGGGCAGGUUGAAGGUUGGGUAACACUAACUGGAGGACCGAACCGACUAAUGUUGAAAAAUUAGCGGAUGACUUGUGGCUGGGGGUGAAAGGCCAAUCAAACCGGGAGAUAGCUGGUUCUCCCCGAAAGCUAUUUAGGUAGCGCCUCGUGAAUUCAUCUCCGGGGGUAGAGCACUGUUUCGGCAAGGGGGUCAUCCCGACUUACCAACCCGAUGCAAACUGCGAAUACCGGAGAAUGUUAUCACGGGAGACACACGGCGGGUGCUAACGUCCGUCGUGAAGAGGGAAACAACCCAGACCGCCAGCUAAGGUCCCAAAGUCAUGGUUAAGUGGGAAACGAUGUGGGAAGGCCCAGACAGCCAGGAUGUUGGCUUAGAAGCAGCCAUCAUUUAAAGAAAGCGUAAUAGCUCACUGGUCGAGUCGGCCUGCGCGGAAGAUGUAACGGGGCUAAACCAUGCACCGAAGCUGCGGCAGCGACGCUGAUGCGUUGUUGGGUAGGGGAGCGUUCUGUAAGCCUGCGAAGGUGUGCUGUGAGGCAUGCUGGAGGUAUCAGAAGUGCGAAUGCUGACAUAAGUAACGAUAAAGCGGGUGAAAAGCCCGCUCGCCGGAAGACCAAGGGUUCCUGUCCAACGUUAAUCGGGGCAGGGUGAGUCGACCCCUAAGGCGAGGCCGAAAGGCGUAGUCGAUGGGAAACAGGUUAAUAUUCCUGUACUUGGUGUUACUGCGAAGGGGGGACGGAGAAGGCUAUGUUGGCCGGGCGACGGUUGUCCCGGUUUAAGCGUGUAGGCUGGUUUUCCAGGCAAAUCCGGAAAAUCAAGGCUGAGGCGUGAUGACGAGGCACUACGGUGCUGAAGCAACAAAUGCCCUGCUUCCAGGAAAAGCCUCUAAGCAUCAGGUAACAUCAAAUCGUACCCCAAACCGACACAGGUGGUCAGGUAGAGAAUACCAAGGCGCUUGAGAGAACUCGGGUGAAGGAACUAGGCAAAAUGGUGCCGUAACUUCGGGAGAAGGCACGCUGAUAUGUAGGUGAAGCGACUUGCUCGUGGAGCUGAAAUCAGUCGAAGAUACCAGCUGGCUGCAACUGUUUAUUAAAAACACAGCACUGUGCAAACACGAAAGUGGACGUAUACGGUGUGACGCCUGCCCGGUGCCGGAAGGUUAAUUGAUGGGGUUAGCGCAAGCGAAGCUCUUGAUCGAAGCCCCGGUAAACGGCGGCCGUAACUAUAACGGUCCUAAGGUAGCGAAAUUCCUUGUCGGGUAAGUUCCGACCUGCACGAAUGGCGUAAUGAUGGCCAGGCUGUCUCCACCCGAGACUCAGUGAAAUUGAACUCGCUGUGAAGAUGCAGUGUACCCGCGGCAAGACGGAAAGACCCCGUGAACCUUUACUAUAGCUUGACACUGAACAUUGAGCCUUGAUGUGUAGGAUAGGUGGGAGGCUUUGAAGUGUGGACGCCAGUCUGCAUGGAGCCGACCUUGAAAUACCACCCUUUAAUGUUUGAUGUUCUAACGUGGACCCGUAAUCCGGGUUGCGGACAGUGUCUGGUGGGUAGUUUGACUGGGGCGGUCUCCUCCUAAAGAGUAACGGAGGAGCACGAAGGUUGGCUAAUCCUGGUCGGACAUCAGGAGGUUAGUGCAAUGGCAUAAGCCAGCUUGACUGCGAGCGUGACGGCGCGAGCAGGUGCGAAAGCAGGUCAUAGUGAUCCGGUGGUUCUGAAUGGAAGGGCCAUCGCUCAACGGAUAAAAGGUACUCCGGGGAUAACAGGCUGAUACCGCCCAAGAGUUCAUAUCGACGGCGGUGUUUGGCACCUCGAUGUCGGCUCAUCACAUCCUGGGGCUGAAGUAGGUCCCAAGGGUAUGGCUGUUCGCCAUUUAAAGUGGUACGCGAGCUGGGUUUAGAACGUCGUGAGACAGUUCGGUCCCUAUCUGCCGUGGGCGCUGGAGAACUGAGGGGGGCUGCUCCUAGUACGAGAGGACCGGAGUGGACGCAUCACUGGUGUUCGGGUUGUCAUGCCAAUGGCACUGCCCGGUAGCUAAAUGCGGAAGAGAUAAGUGCUGAAAGCAUCUAAGCACGAAACUUGCCCCGAGAUGAGUUCUCCCUGACUCCUUGAGAGUCCUGAAGGAACGUUGAAGACGACGACGUUGAUAGGCCGGGUGUGUAAGCGCAGCGAUGCGUUGAGCUAACCGGUACUAAUGAACCGUGAGG